UGAGGAGACUGGUGUUAAGUAACUCGCCCAUCCAUGACCGCAUCAGUGGUUGAAAUGGGAUUGGAAUCUGGUCUUAAUCACUCUUCCAUAAUGCCUCCAUGGCAAGGGUGGCAGAGAGGAAGAAUUAUGCUGAGGAAGUAGAACUGACUAGAAGUCAUGAACAAUGCUUGGUGAUUAGAUUCUAGAAUGGACGAAUAAGGCUCUGCUUUGCUCCCAAGCUUCUGUGUCAGUAAUGGCUUCAUUCAUCUACACAGGGAACAGAGGAUGGAGAGGUGAUGUCUUCAGGCUAGGGCAUGUACAGGGUGACCAAAUCUGACCUUGUAUUGUGCAAACUCAGGACUUUCGUAGAGGAAAGGAGUCACCAUCCAGAGGGAUGCCAGAUAAAAAUGUACAAUGGGACUAAGCCAGGCAAACAGUGGCACAUGUUCACGUUAGACAUGUGGAAUCUGAUAUUUCUGUAAGAAAUACAGAAGAACAUGGGAAAAAUGGCAACAGAGGCCUAAAACUCUGCAGAAAUGGCUGAUCUUAUAAUUUGUGAACUGUUAUUUAUGGUUGUUGGUGGAGCCCAUGGUAGUGAAGGAGAUGGCUCAGGGAGACAACAUUAAAGGCGAUAAGGAGAAAAACUAAUGAUCAAAUUCUAGUGAAUGAAAGGGAAGUAAGGAUAGUAAGUAUAAUAAUAGAGUUUCAAAUUAACAUUUAAUUUUAAAAUUAAUUAUAUGCUACUACUGUUUAUUAUUUAACCCUUCCCUUCCAAGUUAAUUUCAUUUACACUAUUCAUGAGGCUACACAGUUUAGUAAAGGGUCCAUUUAAGCAGGAUGAAUUUAACUCACUAAUUUCAGAAUGAAAGCAAAAGCUCUCUGCAUCUAUGCUGAAUUAUUUGACAUAAAUAGCUGUCUUGCUACAGAAAGCAAAUAGAGUACACUCUCCACUAUAAUUAGAAUUAACAUCAGAUACUCCUAGAAUCUUUCUUUGGCAAUAAAAUUCUUUUGCCUCAAAUUCAGGUUGGGCCAUGUUAUUUCCAGUUCCUCACUAUCAGAAUCAAAGUAAAGAUACAGGAAAGAAAAUAAGUACAUUUACCAUAAGGAAAUCCAAUAAUACUAGCUUAGAUGGGAAGUACUAUAUCAUUGAUUGAAUGCACAGUAAUUUCAGACUCAUCUGAUAAUUUCUUUAAUCUAAAGGAUGAUAUUACAGCAAGAAUCUAAUUACAGUUAAAUAUUUUAUUUUAAUAUCAAGACAUCAUUGUGUCUCUGGAUUUCUCUUUUGCCUCAUUCAGAGUCUCAGAGAUUUUAAAGUAUAUUUUUGAUUAGAUGCAAUUUUUUGCUUACCUACUAACUUCAGAAUCUAUUCUCCUCUUAAGAUGUGUCUGCUACUCAUGUGUUUUCAUAGAGCUAGAUAAAAAUCAGAUAUGGCUAGAACACAGAUCUUGGGACUCCAGACGACUGAUUUUGUGUCAUAUGAAGUGUCAUUCUGUGACACAAAAAUACAAACUAAGUUAAGUUCAAUUUCUUUUUUAUGAAGUAAAAUCACAAAGGUAAAUUUGCCAGGGUGUACUUAAAAAUUCUCCAUAUAAAGUGUUCUAAGCUUAUCAUGCAUUUCUUUCUUUUUUUUUUUUUUAACCUUUUUGCAUUAGCAGAUGUCUUGAUUUAUCCAGGAUACACUUCUUUUUUGUUUGUUAGUAUAUCUAAUCAAACUUUGAUUUCGUAUUUUGUUUCUUUUUUUCAAGUUUUUAAGUCUACGGCCCUUAAAGAAUACCACAUUUUUUCUACUAUAGAAGCAUUAAUGAAAGGUGCUCGCCUUCUCACAGCUAAGUAGCCUUGAAUAUUAUUGAACUCAUGUAGAACAUCAGCUUUGUGUGUGUGUGUGUGUGUGUGACAUUCAGGAAUCUGACUUGAAAUGGUUGCAGUUAAGGGUUCUUUCUACACUCCCAGGACAAUUGACCACACACACACACACACACACACACACACACACACACAAAGAUAAAAUGAGGGGGAGGAGCCAAGAUGGCCGAAUAGGAACAGCUCCAGUCUACAGCUCCCAGCGUGAGUGACGCAGAAGACGGGUGAUUUUUGCAUUUCCAUCUGAGGUACUGGGUUCAUCUCACUAGGGAGUGCCAGACAGUGGGCGCAGGUCAGUGGGUGCAGCGCACCGUGCAUGAGCUGAAGCAGGGCGAGGCAUUGCCUCACUCGGGAAGCGCAAGGGGUCAAGGAGUUCCCUUUCCUAGUCAAAGAAAGGGGUGACAGACGGCACCUGGAAAAUCGGGUCACUCCCACCCGAAUACUGCGAUUUUCCGACAGGCUUAAAAAAUGGCGCACCAGGAGAUUAUAUCCUGCACCGGGCUUGGAGGGUCCUAUGCCCACGGACCCUCACUGAUUGCUAGCACAGCAGUCUGAGAUCAAACUGCAAGGCGGCAGCGAGGCUGGGGGAGGGGCGCCAGCCAUUGCCCAGGCUUGCUUAGGUAAACAAAGCAGCCGGGAAGCUCCAACUGGGUGGAGCCCACCACAGCUCCAGGAGGUCUGCCUGCCUCUGUAGGCUCCACCUCUGGGGGCAGGGCACAGACAAACAAAAAGACAGCAGUAACCUCUGCAGACUUAAAUGUCCCUGUCUGACAGCUUUGAAGAGAGCAGUGGUUCUCCCAGCAUGCAGCUGGAGAUCUGAGAACCCGCAGACUGCCUCCUCAAGUGGGUCCCUGACCCCUGACCCCUGAGCAGCCUAACUGGGACGCACCCCCCAGUAGGGGCAGACUGACACCUCACACAGCCAGAUACUCCUCUGAGACAAAACUUCCAGAGGAACGAUGAGACAGCAGCAUUCACGGUUCAUGAAAAACCACUGUUCUGCAGACACCGCUGCUGCUACCUAGGCAAACAGCAUCUGGAGUGGACCUCUAGCAAACUCCAACAGACCUGCAGCUGAGGGUCCUGUCUGUUUGUUAGAAGGAAAACUAACAAACAGAAAGGACAUCCACACCAAAAACCCAUCUGUACAUCACCAUCAUCAAAGACCAAAAGUAGAUAAAACCACAAAGAUGGGGAAAAAACAAAGCAGAAAAACUGGAAACUCUAAAAAGCAGAGCACCUCUCCUCCUCCAAAGGAUCACAGUUCCUCACCAGCAAUGGAACAAAGCUGGACGGAGAAGGACUUCGACGAGUUGAGAGAAGAAGGCUUCAGACAAUCAAACUACGAGCUACAGGAGGAAAUUAAAACCAAAGGCAAAGAAGUUAAAAUCUUUGAAAAAAAUUUAGACGAAUGUAUAACUAGAAUAACCAAUACAGAGAAGUGCUUAAAGGAGCUGUUGGAGCUGAAAGCCAAGGCUCGAGAACUACGUGAAGAAUGCAGAAGCCUCAGGAGCCGAUGUGAUCAACUAGAAGAAAGGGUAUCAGCGAUGGAAGAUGAAAUGAAGCGAGAAGGGAAGUUUAGAGAAAAAAGAAUAAAAAGAAACAAACAAAGCCUCCAAGAAAUAUGGGACUAUGUGAAAAGACCAAAUCUACGUCUGAUUGGUGUAUCUGAAAGUGAUGGGGAGAAUGGAACCAAGUUGGAAAACACUCUGCAGGAUAUUAUCCAGGAGAACUUCCCCAAUCUAGCAAGGCAGGCCAACAUUCAGAUUCAGGAAAUACAGAGAACACCACAAAGAUUCUCCUUGAGAAGAGCAACUCCAAGACACAUAAUUAUCAGAUUCACCAAAGUUGAAAUGAAGGAAAAAAUGUUAAGGGCAGCCAGAGAGAAAGGACGGGUUACCCACAAAGGGAAGCCCAUCAGACUAACAGCGGAUCUCUCGGCAGAAACUCUACAAGCCAGAAGAGAGUGGGAGCCAAUAUUCAACAUUCUUAAAGAAAAGAAUUUUCAACCCAGAAUUUCAUAUCCAGCCAAACUAAGCUUCAUAAGUGAAAGAGAAAUAAAAUACUUUACAGACAAGCAAAUGCUGAGAGAUUUUGUCACCACCAGGCCUGCCCUAAAACAGCUCCUGAAGGAAGCACUAAACAUGGAAAGGAACAACUGGUACCAGCUGCUGCAAAAUCAUGCCAAAACGUAAAGACCAUCGAGACUAGGAAGAAACUGCAUCAACUAACGAGCAAAAUAACCAGCUAACAUCAUAAUGACAGGUUCAAAUUCACACAAAACUAUAUUAACUUUAAAUGUCAAUGGACUAAAUGCUCCAAUUAAAAGACACAGACUGGCAAAUUGGAUAAAGAGUCAAGACUCAUCAGUGUGUUGUAUUCAGGAAACCCAUCUCACAUGCAGAGACACACACAGGCUCAAAAUAAAAGGAUGGAGGAAGAUCUACCAAGCAAAUGGAAAACAAAAAAAGGCAGGGAUUGCAAUCCUAGUCUCUGAUAAAACAGACUUUAAACCAACAAAGAUCAAAAGAGACAAAGAAGGCCAUUACAUAAUGGUAAAGGGAUGAAUUCAACAAGAAGAGCUAACUAUCCUAAAUAUAUAUGCACCCAAUACAGGAGCACCCAGAUUCAUAAAGCAAGUCGUGAGUGACCUACAAAGAGACUUAGACUCCCACACGUUAAUAAUGGGAGACUUUAACACCCCACUGUCAACAUUAGACAGAUCAACGAGACAGAAAGUCAACAAGGAUACCCAGGAAUUGAACUCAUCUCUGCACCAAGCAGACCUAAUAGACAUCUACAGAACUCUCCACACCAAAUCAACAGAAUAUACAUUUUUUUCAGCACCACACCAAUUCCAAAAUUGACUACACAGUUGGAAGUAAAGCUCUACUCAGCAAAUGUAAAAGAACAGAAAUUAUAACAAACUAUAUCUCUGACCACAGUGCAAUCAAACUAGAACUCAGGAUUAAGAAACUCACUGAAAACCGCUCAACUACAUGGAAACUGAACAACCUGCUCCUGAAUGACUACUGGGUACGUAACGAAAUGAAGGCAGAAAUAAAGAUGUUCUUUGAAACCAAUGAGAACAAAGACACAGCAUACCUGAAUCUCUGGGACACAUUCAAAGCAGUGUGUAGAGGGAAAUUUACAGCACUAAAUGCCCACAAGAGAAAGCAGGAAAGAUCCAAAAUUGACACUCUAACAUCACAAUUAAAAGAACUAGAAAAGCAAGAGCAAACACACUCAAAAACUAGCAGAAGGCAAGAAAUAACUAAAAUCAGAGCAGAACUGAAGGAAAUAGAGACACAAAAAACCCUUCAAAAAUUAAUGAAUCCAGGAACUGGUUUUUUGAAAGGAUCAACAAAAUUGAUAGACCGCUAGCAAGACUAAUAAAGAAAAAAAGAGAGAAGAAUCAAAUAGACGCAAUAAAAAAUGAUAAAGGGGAUAUCACCAGCGAUCCCACAGAAAUAUAAACUACCAUCAGAGAAUACUACAAACACCUCUAUGCAAAUAAACUAGAAAAUCUAGAAGAAAUGGAUAAAUUCCUCGACACAUACACUCUCCCAAGACUAAACCAGGAAGAAGUUGAAUCUCUGAAUAGACCAAUAACAGGAGCUGAAAUUGUGGCAAUAAUCAAUAGCUUACCAAUGAAAAAGAGUCCAGGACCAGAUGGAUUCAUAGCCGAAUUCUACCAGAGGUACAAGGAGGAACUGGUACCAUUCCUUCUGAAACUAUUCCAAUCAAUAGAAAAAGAAAGAAUCCUCCCUAACUCAUUUUAUGAGGCCAGCAUCAUCCUGAUACCAAAGCCGGGCAGAGAUACAACCAAAAAAGAGAAUUUUAGACCAAUAUCCUUGAUGAACAUUGAUGCAAAAAUCCUCAAUAAAAUACUGGCAAACUGAAUCCAGCAGCACAUCAAAAAGCUUAUCCACCAUGAUCAAGUGGGCUUCAUCCCUGGGAUGCAAGGCUGGUUCAAUAUACGCAAAUCAGUAAAUGUAAUCCAGCAUAUAAACAGAACCAAAGACAAAAACCACAUGAUUAUCUCAAUAGAUGCAGAAAAG
rnacentral:lncRNA from 1 species